rnacentral:rRNA from 1 species
GAUCCUGGCUCAGGAUGAACGCUAGCUACAGGCUUAACACAUGCAAGUCGAGGGGAAACGAUAGAGAAAGCUUGCUUUUUCUAGGCGUCGACCGGCGCACGGGUGAGUAACGCGUAUCCAACCUGCCCAUCACUUGGGGAUAACCUUGCGAAAGUAAGACUAAUACCCAAUGACGUCUCUAGAAGACAUCUGAAAGAGAUUAAAGAUUUAUCGGUGAUGGAUGGGGAUGCGUCUGAUUAGCUUGUUGGCGGGGUAACGGCCCACCAAGGCGACGAUCAGUAGGGGUUUUGAGAGGAAGGUCCCCCACAUUGGAACUGAGACACGGUCCAAACUCCUACGGGAGGCAGCAGUGAGGAAUAUUGGUCAAUGGACGAGAGUCUGAACCAGCCAAGUAGCGUGCAGGAUGACGGCCCUAUGGGUUGUAAACUGCUUUUAUAAGGGAAUAAAGUGAGUCUCGUGAGGCUUUUUGCAUGUACCUUAUGAAUAAGGACCGGCUAAUUCCGUG